AUGAAACCUCGCAAUCAAGUUUUUGGCGCCGUUGCCGGGGAACUGAAAUAUUAGGAACACUCAAUUUUUAUUACUUUAGCCAUUUAUUUUUCUUGCAAUUUAAUUUUAUUAUUAUUUAUUAACCCACUCUUUCUUUCUCUUAGCAGGUUUUUAUAGUUUAUGACUAGAAGAAACCCAUCGGGACCAUUACUUUUUGACGAAGAAAUCGAUCGUACAGGUCGUAGAAACUAAAAGGAGAUAAGGCAAAGCUUAAGAUAUACGGAGAACGAGCAAGAAGACGAUAC
rnacentral:lncRNA from 1 species